rnacentral:sRNA from 1 species
UCAACAACUGACUAUUUGAUCAAUAUUGA